rnacentral:rRNA from 1 species
AAUGAACGCUGGCGGCGUGGUUAAGACAUGCAAGUCGAACGGUUUUUCAGGUGUAGCAAUACAUUUGAAAGACAGUGGCGAACGGGUGCGUAACACGUGAACAAUCUACCUUCAAAUGGGGAAUAGCUCGCCGAAAGGCGAAUUAAUACCGCAUACGGUUGGUUCUCUCCUGAGAAUCAUACCAAAGUCCGGGACCGCAAGGCCUGACGUUUGAAGAGGAGUUCGCGGCCUAUCAGCUAGUUGGCGAGGUAACGGCUCACCAAGGCGACGAUGGCUAGGGGAGCUGAGAGGCUGGGU